AUUGAACGCUGGCGGCAGGCCUAACACAUGCAAGUCGAACGAGUGGCGGACGGGUGAGUAAUGUCUGGGACACUGCCUGAUGGAGGGGGAUAACUACUGGAAACGGUAGCUAAUACCGCAUACCAUCGGAUGUGCCCAGAGGGGAUUAGCUAGUUGGUGGGGUAAAGGGUCACCAAGGCGACGAUCCCUAGCUGGUCUGAGAGGAUGACCAGCCACACUGGAACGGAGACACGGCCCAGACUCCUACGGGAGGAAGGAGUGGGGAAUAGUGCACAAUUGGCGAAAGCCCGAUGCAGCCAUGCCGCGUGUAUGAAGAAGGCCUUAGGGUUGUAAAGUACUUUCAGCGUGGAGGCGUUACCCGCAGAAGAAGCACCGGCUAACUCCGUGCCAGCAGCCGCGGUAAUAC
rnacentral:rRNA from 1 species